CAUGCUUCACAACCUUAAAAUUUCAUUAGGUUUUAGGUAUAAUUAGGUUAAAAAGUGAUUUUUACCUCUCCUUCUAAUUCUAACACCAUACGCAGCACACCAUGAGCCGCAGGAUGGGCAGGACCAAAGUUAAUAAAGAAAAUCUUCAACUGGUCGUUGAUAUCAUCAUCCGAAAACGGUAACGGGCGAUUCCAGAACUUGAAAUCUUCUGCAUCUGGUACCCACUUCUUAUAACCACGACACCCAUGUAUCCCCAAGAGUUUCUUACCACAUCUUAAAAGAUUAAUCAUAUUCAUGAUUUUGUUUUUGUAAUCUGAGAUGUCAAAAAGGUAAAAA